AGAGUUUGAUCCUGGCUCAGAACGAACGCUGGCGGCAGGCCUAACACAUGCAAGUCGAGCGCACCUUCGGGUGAGCGGCGGACGGGUUAGUAACGCGUGGGAACGUACCCUUUUCUACGGAAUAGCCUUUGGAAACGAAGAGUAAUACCGUAUACGCCCUUCGGGGGAAAGAUUUAUCGGAGAAGGAUCGGCCCGCGUUAGAUUAGAUAGUUGGUGGGGUAAUGGCCUACCAAGUCUACGAUCUAUAGCUGGUUUUAGAGGAUGAUCAGCAACACUGGGACUGAGACACGGCCCAGACUCCUACGGGAGGCAGCAGUGGGGAAUCUUAGACAAUGGGCGCAAGCCUGAUCUAGCCAUGCCGCGUGUGUGAUGAAGGCCUUAGGGUCGUAAAGCACUUUCGCCAGGGAUGAUAAUGACAGUACCUGGUAAAGAAACCCCGGCUAACUCCGUGCCAGCAGCCGCGGUAAUACGGAGGGGGUUAGCGUUGUUCGGAAUUACUGGGCGUAAAGCGUACGUAGGCGGAUCAGAAAGUAUGGGGUGAAAUCCCGAGGCUCAACCUCGGAACUGCCUCAUAAACUCCUGGUCUUGAGUUCGAGAGAGGUGAGUGGAAUUCCAAGUGUAGAGGUGAAAUUCGUAGAUAUUUGGAGGAACACCAGUGGCGAAGGCGGCUCACUGGCUCGAUACUGACGCUGAGGUACGAAAGUGUGGGGAGCAAACAGGAUUAGAUACCCUGGUAGUCCACACCGUAAACGAUGAAUGCCAG
rnacentral:rRNA from 1 species